ACGGAAGGCAGCCUUGGGGAAUAUUGCACAAUGGGCGCAAGCCUGAUGAAGCGAUGCCGCGUGAGGGAAGAAGGUUCUCGGAUUGUAAACCUCUGUCAACAGGGACGAAAAUGACGGUAACUGUGAAGGAAGCUCCGGCUAACUACGUGCCAGCAGCCGCGGUAAUACGUAGGGAGCAAGCGUUAUCCGGAAUUACUGGGUGUAAAGGGAGUGUAGGCGGGACUGUAAGUCAGAUGUGAAAUAUGCCGGCUCAACUGGCAGACUGCAUUUGAAACUGCGGUUCUUGAGUGAAGUAGAGGUAAGCGGAAUUCCUAGUGUAGCGGUGAAAUGCGUAGAUAUUAGGAGGAACAUCAGUGGCGAAGGCGGCUUACUGGGCUUUAACUGACGCUGAGGCUCGAAAGCGUGGGGAGCAAACAGGAUUAGAUACCCUGAUA
rnacentral:rRNA from 1 species